AGCGGCGGAUGGGUGAGUAACACGUGGGGAACCUGCCCCUAAGUCUGGGAUACCAUUUGGAAACAGGUGCUAAUACCGGAUAACAAAGCAGGUCGCAUGAUCAGCUUUUGAAAGGCGGCGUAAGCUGUCGCUAAGGGAUGGCCCCGCGGUGCAUUAGCUAGUUGGUAAGGUAACGGCUUACCAAGGCGACGAUGCAUAGCCGAGUUGAGAGACUGAUCGGCCACAUUGGGACUGAGACACGGCCCAAACUCCUACGGGAGGCAGCAGUAGGGAAUCUUCCACAAUGGACGCAAGUCUGAUGGAGCAACGCCGCGUGAGUGAAGAAGGUUUUCGGAUCGUAAAGCUCUGUUGUGGCGAAGAAGGAUAGAGGUAGUAACUGGCCUUUAUUUGACGGUAAUCAACCAGAAAGUCACGGCUAACUACGUGCCAGCAGCCGCGGUAAUACGUAGGUGGCAAGCGUUGUCCGGAUUCAUUGGGCGUAAAGCGAGCGCUGGCGGAAAAAUAAGUCUAAUGUGAAAGCCCUCGGCUUAACCGAGGAACUGCAUCGGAAACUGUUUUUCUUGAGUGCAGAAGAGGAGAGUGGAACUCCAUGUGUAGCGGUGGAAUGCGUAGAUAUAUGGAAGAACACCAGUGGCGAAGGCGGCUCUCUGGUCUGCAACUGACGCUGAGGCUCGAAAGCAUGGGUAGCGAACAGGAUUAGAUACCCUGGUAGUCCAUGCCGUAAACGAUGAGCGCUAAGUGU
rnacentral:rRNA from 1 species